UACGAACCGUCCAAACGUUAUUCGGAUUUAUUGGGCUUAAAGGGUAUGUAGGCGGCCCUUCAAGUCGGGUGUGAAAGCCCUCGGCUCAACCGAGGAACUGCGCCCGAUACUGUGGGGCUCGAGGGAGACAGAGGUAAGCGGAACUGAUGGUGGAGCGGUGAAAUGCGUUGAUAUCAUCAGGAACACCAGCGGCGAAAGCGGCUUACUGGGUCUCUUCUGACGCUGAGAUACGAAAGCUAGGGGAGCGAACGGG
rnacentral:rRNA from 1 species